rnacentral:rRNA from 1 species
GCGUGGCGUUGGAGGCUAAAAGGAGUGGGUAUGUGUGUAGUAAGGGGGUAGGUUGGUAGUGCGUGGUUAGGGUGAUAAGGUGUACCUUGGUGGAGGUUGAACGACGUAGGUGUAGGGAGUGUGAAUGUCUAUGUGAGAGUGCGGAUGUGUGUGGUGGUGUGGCGACCAGGGGAGCCGUAGGGGGUAUGUGUGUGUGUAGUGGACGGUACGUAAGGCUAUGGGUGUGGGGUUUUUGACUUUUACUAGGAAGUCGACCAAGAGGUUGACUUUGGAACAAUGCUGAACAUGAAAUAGAUCGGUAUCUAUAAGUCU